CAUGUUCGUUAUCUUCCAACCUGAUGGUGAGCUUUAAGCUUGAUAUCCGGAUAAUUGAAAACAAUAAACUGGUCUGAGCUCCCUGCACUUCAUACAGGAAGGAAUUGGGGUCCAUUGUUAAAAAUGCUCGUACACGUGCUAAUGUUUUUCGAGCAAGUACCACCAAAAAAGUUUCUUCAGUAAAAUCUGUCAAGUUAACCACGUGUUGGCGCUGAACUACUCAUGAUCUCAUGACUAAACACACCAGGACCGUGGUUGGUGACCAACUUCGCUUUGACCGUGCUGACGAGAUUUAUAUAUAGACAGGGUUUUUCUGCAAGUUACAGGCAAGGGAAAGACACUCGCGACCUCCUAGAAACGAUCAACGUAGAAGUAUUCGUGUACGAGAAAACCUUCCGGAUGCGGAUAUCACUCGCCAAACAGGAACAUCUUUCUCAGGGUGUGAAGGAACUAUCUAUUACGGAUGGCACAACAGGGAUAGUCAGGAUCAGGACAUACCAAGUUUUUGGUGAUUCUUGUUGAAGCCUGAAUAAAGAGAGAUGGAUUCCAGGUCGUUUCGAGAAGCUUUCAGAAGAUAUUGCGAUGUAAUUCCAAUGUAUGGUGCUGGACAUUUCAUACAAUUAAGUUUAUAAAUUACAUUGGAUUUGUAGGCUGUCUUCGACAUUGGAAAAACGUUUGUGCGGUGUUUUGUGGUUUUUAAAGGCUAUUUUAAUGUCUUCUGAGGAGAGAAAUUACUUAAUUUGUGUUUCAUUGUGUGGACGACGUGAAUAUUGUUUGUCUUUAAGUGAUUGGGAUUAUUCACGUUUCACAACAAUUUCACACAACACCAAUAUGACACCACAAGAAUAGCACCACACUUUAUGUGAG
rnacentral:lncRNA from 1 species